rnacentral:rRNA from 1 species
AUACGUAGGGUGCAAGCGUUAAUCGGAAUUACUGGGCGUAAAGCGUGCGCAGGCGGUUUUGUAAGACAGAGGUGAAAUCCCCGGGCUCAACCUGGGAACUGCCUUUUUGACAGCAAGGCUCGAGUGCGGCAGAGGGGGAUGGAAUUCCGCGUGUAGCAGUGGAAUGCGUAGAUAUGCGGAGGAACACCGAUGGCGAAGGCAAUCCCCUGGGCCUGUACCGACGCUCAUGCACGAAAGCGUGGGGAGCAAACAGGAUUAGAUACCCUGGUAGUCCACGCCCUAAACGAUGUCAACUGGUUGUUGGGUCUUCAUUGACUCAGUAACGAAGCUAACGCGUGAAGUUGACCGCCUGGGGAGUACGGCCGCAAGGUUGAAACUCAAAUGAAUUGACGGGG